rnacentral:rRNA from 1 species
UACGUAGGUGGCAAGCGUUGUCCGGAAUUAUUGGGCGUAAAGCGCGCGCAGGCGGUUCUUUAAGUCUGAUGUGAAAGCCCACGGCUCAACCGUGGAGGGUCAUUGGAAACUGGAGAACUUGAGUACAGAAGAGGAAAGCGGAAUUCCACGUGUAGCGGUGAAAUGCGUAGAGAUGUGGAGGAACACCAGUGGCGAAGGCGUCUUUCUGGUCUGUAACUGACGCUUAGGCGCGAAAGCGUGGGGAGCAAACAGG